GGGCAAUUGGUCUAGGGGUAUGAUUUUCGCUUCGCAUUGUCUGCUCGAUGCGCUUUGUGAAAGGUCACCGGUUCGAAUCCGGUAUUGUCCA